GGUUGUAUGGUGUAGAGGUUAGCACUCCAGAUUCUGACUUUCGUCGAGAAACCUUUCUGGCGACCCCGGUUCGAGUCCGGGUACGACCU
rnacentral:tRNA from 1 species